rnacentral:rRNA from 1 species
GACGAACGCUGGCGGCGUGCUUAACACAUGCAAGUCGAACGAUGAAGCUGGAGCUUGCUCUAGCGGAUUAGUGGCGAACGGGUGAGUAACACGUGAGCAAUCUGCCCUUGACUCUGGGAUAACUGCGGGAAACUGUAGCUAAUACCGGAUACUUUCACCGGGGGGCAUCCUCUGGUGAUGAAAGAAUUUCGGUCAAGGAUGAGCUCGCGGCCUAUCAGCUUGUUGGUGAGGUAACGGCUCACCAAGGCGACGACGGGUAACCGGCCUGAGAGGGUGACCGGUCACACUGGUACUGAGACACGGCCCAGACUCCUACGGGAGGCAGCAGUGGGGAAUAUUGCACAAUGGGCGCAAGCCUGAUGCAGCAACGCCGCGUGAGGGAUGAAGGCCUUCGGGUUGCAAACCUCUUUUAGCAGGGAAGAAGCGAAAGUGACGGUACCUGCAGAAAAAGCACCGGCUAACUACGUGCCAGCAGCCGCCGUAA